rfam:Asian citrus Psyllid, Diaphorina citri - Florida Strain, whole genome shotgun sequence.
UGGCGUAGUGGUCACUGCGCUCGCCUUGCACGCGGGAGACCCGGGUUCGAUUCCCGG